UAGUAAGUCAUCUACAUACUGCAAGA
rnacentral:piRNA from 1 species